GACGAACGCUGGCGGCGUGCUUAACACAUGCAAGUCGAACGGAAAGGCCCUGCUUUUGUGGCGUGCUCGAGUGGCGAACGGGUGAGUAACACGUGUGUAACCUGCCCUUGACUUUGGGGUAACUUCAGGAAAAUGGGGCUAAUACCGGAUAGGAGCUCCUGCUGCAUGGUGGGGGUUGGAAAGUUACGGCGGUUGGGGCUGGUCUCGCGGGUUAUCAGCUUGUUGGUGGGGUAGUGACUUACAAAGGCUUUGACGGGUAGCCGGCCUGAGAGCGUGGACGGGGUCAAUGGUACUGAGGUACGGACCAGUAUCGUACCGUACGCAGUGGGCGAGAGUCUGACGGAGUGACGGGGAGCGAGUGGCAGCGACGCCGGGAUCGUAAUGACGGGUUUCGAGGUGAGAACAGAUGUGGCAGGAAACGAGGAGAGAGUGACGGUAACUAGUAAGAAAGCAACGGCUAACUACGUG
rnacentral:rRNA from 1 species